UGGGGAAUAUUGGACAAUGGGCGAAAGCCUGAUCCAGCCAUGCCGCGUGAGUGAUGAAGGCCCUAGGGUUGUAAAGCUCUUUUGUGCGGGAAGAUAAUGACGGUACCGCAAGAAUAAGCCCCGGCUAACUACGUGCCAGCAGCCGCGGUAAUACGUAGGGAGCAAGCGUUGUUCGGAUUUACUGGGCGUAAAGGGCGCGUAGGCGGCGCGGUAAGUCACUUGUGAAAUCUCUGAGCUUAACUCAGAACGGCCAAGUGAUACUGCUGCGCUAGAGUGCGGAAGAGGCAACCGGAAUUCUUGGUGUAGCGGUGAAAUGCGUAGAUAUCAAGAGGAACACCUGAGGCGAAGGCGGGUUGCUGGGCCGACACUGACGCUGAUGCGCGAAAGCCAGGGGAGCAAACG
rnacentral:rRNA from 1 species